rnacentral:rRNA from 1 species
GAUGAACGCUGGCGGUAUGCUUAACACAUGCAAGUCGUACGGAAGUUUUUUAAACUUUAGUGGCGGACGGGUGAGUAAUACAUAAGAAUCUGCUUUUAGGAAGAGGAUAACAAUCGGAAACGAUUGCUAAUACUCUAUAUGCUGUGAAGUGAAAGGAGCAAUCCGCCUGAAAUAGAGCUUGUGCCUGAUUAGCUAGUUGGUAGGGUAAGAGCCUACCAAGGCGACGAUCAGUAGCUGGUCUGAGAGGACGAUCAGCCACACUGGGACUGAGACACGGCCCAGACUCCUACGGGAGGCAGCAGUGGGGAAUUUUCCGCAAUGGGCGAAAGCCUGACGGAGCAAUACCGCGUGAGGGAAGAAGGUCUCUGGAUUGUAAACCUCUUUUGUUGGGAAAGAAAUUUGACGGUACCCAACGAAUAAGCAUCGGCUAACUCCGUGCCAGCCGCCGCGGUAAGAC